UGCAAGAGCCUAAAUGUCCGUUGACUGAUGAAUGGAUAAAGAAGAUGUGGUUUAUAUAUACAAUGGAAUACUACUUGGCAAUGAGAAAGAAUGAAAUCGUGCCAUUUGCAGCAACGUGGAUGGAGCUGGAAGGGUAAACAACAACAACAACAACAACAACAACACGCAAAGGAGAAAACAACAAAACCCCAAGCCAAAUGCCCACACUGUGAGUCUUUCAGCUCGGUCCACUCUUGUCCCUGGAAGAUGUGUCUGCUGCUGCCUCUGAUCUGUGUGGUCACUGUUUUGUACACUUGAGCUGCAGUGGCUGUGACAUAUCUCAGCAGAACUCUCCACAGCUGAUUCUUGUGCAGGUAGGGCUUGAUUAAUGAUUUUUGCCUCUUGCUAUUCAUUAAAGGCUGUUUGCACUGAAUGUACUAUCAGGUUUUGCAGGAUACACUCAUGCUGAAGAAAGAACAGAUCAGACACUUGGGAGGCACUAAUUAGAAAUGCCCAGAAGAGGUACUGUGGACACUUGUCUCACUUCUUCUUUCAUUCAGUCAGUCACAUAUUCAUUCAUGCAUUCCUUUACCAAACACGCAUCAAGUCCUGUGUGCCUGGACUUGUGUAGUUCCUGAGAAAACAAAGAUAAUAAAGGCAUUGACAGGAAACACGUACAUGCCAAGGAAUGGUUGCCAUCUAAGAAUGUGAUUGGUCUAAUGAAGGCCGGAGAAUGCAAAUAUUCUUGAGCACAGGCUACCGGCUUCAUAUCUUGACAUGGUCACUACUCAGUGAAAACAGAGGUGAAAGAGAACCUAAUACUGUCCAGGGAGUCAGAAAUGUUUCAGAGAAGGUAGCAUGUGGGUCAAGACUUGAAGAGGAAGCAGUGGAUUGCCAGGAAGACCAGCCAAGUGAGGGCAUUCCAGACAAAGAAGACAACAUAGAUUCUGAAGUUGGAUGGGCCUGAAUCCACCUUAGAAUGCUCCUGCAGAAUAGGACAAAAUGCAAGAUUGGCGUCUCUCUAAUCCCAGGAGCAGGCAACGAUUUCUCUCCUGUGACACCAUGGGGACAAGCCCAGAGAGCAGACCUGUGGGCCUGGGGAGGUGGAAGGAUUUCUGUGAAACUUGUCUGCAGAAAAGCCAGACCUGCCAGGACAUUGCUGCAAAAUGACAGCUGCAUUCACAGAAUCCACUCUUCUCAGUUUGCAGAUGGGCCAUAGAAAACCAACAACAACAGGAGACUUUUCAACAAAUAACCGAGGGAUGUUCUGGGAAUUCUACUGCUUCUUUGCUGUGACCUCUGGAGAUUUUCUAAAUUAGAAUCAUUACCUAUAUGGGGAGCCUGCAAUGCAAAUCAAAUGAGAGGCCACGGGCAAGCUAAUGAAGGCCAGUGACCCGGGGAUCUAAUGAAGAUGAACAGCUCUGUUACAGGGAGAGUACGCCACCAUAUCACAUGCCGCUUGGAGCAGGAAAAGAGUUUCAGAUGAUGAGGUCACCAAAGGUCAGAAGAUGAGCCUCCAAAGGAAAUACAGAAGAAUAUACUUUGGAAUGGCUGAGCAAAAUG